rnacentral:rRNA from 1 species
UACAGAGGGUGCAAGCGUUAAUCGGAGUUACUGGGCGUAAAGGGCGCGUAGGCGGUUAUUUAAGUUGGAUGUGAAAACCCUGGGCUUAACCUAGGACUGGCAUUCAAAACUGGGUGACUGGAGUAUUGUAGAGGGUAGUGGAAUUUCCGGUGUAGCGGUGAAUGCGUAGAGAUCGGAAGGAACACCAGUGGCGAAGGCGACUACCUGGGCAAUAACUGACGUUGAGGCGCGAGAGCGUGGGGAGCAAACAGGG